rnacentral:rRNA from 1 species
CGGGACGGGUGAGUAAUGUCUGGGAAACUGCCUGACGGAGGGGGAUAACUGCUGGAAACGGUAGCUAAUACCGCAUAACGUCGCAAGACCAAAGAGGGGGACCUUCGGGCCUCUUGCCAUCGGAUGUGCCCAGAUGGGAUUAGCUAGUAGGUGGGGUAACGGCUCACCUAGGCGACGAUCCCUAGCUGGUCUGAGAGGAUGACCAGCCACACUGGAACUGAGACACGGUCCAG